AUUGAACGCUGGCGGCAUGCCUUACACAUGCAAGUCGAACGGUAACAGGCCGCAAGGUGCUGACGAGUGGCGAACGGGUGAGUAAUGCAUCGGAACGUGCCCAGUCGUGGGGGAUAACUGCUCGAAAGAGCAGCUAAUACCGCAUACGACCUGAGGGUGAAAGCGGGGGACCGUAAGGCCUCGCGCGAUUGGAGCGGCCGAUGUCAGAUUAGCUAGUUGGUGGGGUAAAGGCCUACCAAGGCAACGAUCUGUAGUUGGUCUGAGAGGACGACCAGCCACACUGGGAGUGAGACACGGCCCAGACUCCUACGGGAGGCAGCAGUGGGGAAUUUUGGACAAUGGGCGCAAGCCUGAUCCAGCAAUGCCGCGUGCAGGAAGAAGGCCUUCGGGUUGUAAACUGCUUUUGUCAGGGAAGAAAUCUUCUGGGCUAAUACCCCGGGAGGAUGACGGUACCUGAAGAAUAAGCACCGGCUAACUACGUGCCAGCAGCCGCCGCCG
rnacentral:rRNA from 1 species